GACGAACGCUGGCGGCGUGCCUAACACAUGCAAGUCGAGCGAUGAAGCCCUUCGGGGUGGAUUAGCGGCGGACGGGUGAGUAACACGUGGGUAACCUGCCUCAAAGAGGGGGACAGCCUCCCGAAAGGGAGAUUAAUACCGCAUAAUAUCAUGUUUUCGCAUGAAGAUAUGAUUAAAGGAGCAAUCCGCUUUGAGAUGGACCCGCGGCGCAUUAGCUAGUUGGUGAGGUAACGGCUCACCAAGGCCACGAUGCGUAGCCGACCUGAGAGGGUGAUCGGCCACAUUGGAACUGAGACACGGUCCAGACUCCUACGGGAGGCAGCAGUGGGGAAUAUUGCACAAUGGGCGAAAGCCUGAUGCAGCAACGCCGCGUGAGUGAUGACGGCCUUCGGGUUGUAAAACUCUGUCUUUGGGGACGAUAAUGACGGUACCCAAGGAGGAAGCCACGGCUAACUACGUGCCAGCCGCCGCCGUAA
rnacentral:rRNA from 1 species